UGGGCUAAGGGUAGAGGUCGAGAACGAGGCGGAGGUCACUGGAGGUCACCGGAAGUGACGCGUAGGGCUGGACUGCUACUCAUAUGCUGCAGCAAUACCUCAGUUUCAGGAAGCUUUCUUGUUCUUUCCGUCGGCGCGACAUUCAAGAGAGAGACUGCCGCUUUCCUACUCGUACAACUCGAACAAGCUGCUAUCGUUGUUCAGAUUCUUCGCAACAUGGAGAAACCCUACAGGUGUGAGGAGUGCAGCAAGCAGUUUAGUUAACUACAAAAGUUUAGUUUAGUUGAAGCAGUUGCUUGAAAUAGUUAGUUGACUUAUAAAAAGUACAUGUACAUACAAAAAAGAAGAAAAAAACUUCAAUGACAU